rnacentral:rRNA from 1 species
UACGUAGGGGGCAAGCGUUAUCCGGAAUUACUGGGUGUAAAGGGAGCGUAGACGGUAAUGUAAGUCUGGAGUGAAAGGCGGGGGCCCAACCCCCGGACUGCUCUGGAAACUAUGUUACUAGAGUGCAGGAGAGGUAAGCGGAAUUCCUAGUGUAGCGGUGAAAUGCGUAGAUAUUAGGAGGAACACCAGUGGCGAAGGCGGAUUACUGGACGAUAACUGACGGUGAGGCGCGAAAGCGUGGGGAGCAAACAGG